AUGGGACACGGAGCCCGCCCCGGUGCGCGGCCCCGGGCACGGUCCCCGGUCACGAUCCCCGCCCCCGGCAGGAUCCCCCGGGUCACGAUCCCCGCCCCCGGGCGGGUCCCCCGGUCACCAUCCCCGCCCCCGGCAGGAUCCCCGGGUCACGAUCCCCGCCCCGGCAGGAUACCCGGGUCACGAUCCCCGCCCCCGGGCACGGUCCCCGGUCACGAUCCCCGCCCCGGCAGGGUCCCCGGUCACGAUCCCCGCCCCCGGCAGGAUCCCCGGGUCACGAUCCCCGCCCCCGGCAGGAUCCCCGGUCACGAUCCCCGCCCCCGGCAGGAUCCCCGGGUCACGAUCGCCGCCCCCGGCAGGAUCCCCGGUCACGAUCCCCGCCCCCGGCAGGAUCCCCGGGUCACGAUCCCCGCCCCCGGGCACGGUCCCCGGUCACGAUCCCCGCCCCGGCAGGGUCCCCGGUCACGAUCCCCGCCCCCGGCAGGAUCCCCGGUCACGAUCCCCGCCCCCGGGCAGGAUCCCCGGUCACGAUCCCCGCCCCCGGGCAGGAUCCCCGGUCACGAUCCCCGCCCCCGGGCAGGAUCCCCGGUCACGAUCCCCGCCCCCGGGCAGGAUCCCCGGUCACGAUCCCCGCCCCGGCAGGAUCCCCGGUCACGAUCCCCGCCCCCGGGCAUGAUCCCCGGUCACGAUCCCCGCCCCGGCAGGAUCCCCGGUCACGAUCCCCGCCCCGGCAGGAUCCCCGGUCACGAUCCCCGCCCCCGGCAGGAUCCCCGGUCACGAUCCCCGCCCCCGGGCACGGUCCCCGGUCACGAUCCCCGCCCCCGGGCAGGAUCCCCGGUCACGAUCCCCGCCCCGGCAGGGUCCCCGGUCACGAUCCCCGCCCCGGCAGGAUCCCCGGUCACGAUCCCCGCCCCCGGCAGGAUCCCCGGUCACGAUCCCCGCCCCCGGGCACGGUCCCCGUUCACGAUCCCCGCCCCGGCAGGAUCCCCGGUCACGAUCCCCGCCCCGGCAGGAUCCCCGGUCACGAUCCCCGCCCCCGGCAGGAUCCCCGGUCACGAUCCCCGCCCCCGGCAGGGUCCCCCGGUCACGAUCCCCGCCCCCCGGCAGGAUCCCCGGUCACGAUCCCCGCCCCCGGGCAGGAUCCCCGGUCACGAUCCCCGCCCCCGGGCAGGAUCCCCGGUCACGAUCCCCGCCCCCGGCAGGAUCCCCGGUCACGAUCGCCGCCCCCGGCAGGAUCCCCGGUCACGAUCCCCGCCCCCGGCAGGGUCCCCGGUCACGAUCCCCGUCCCCGGGCAGGAUCCCCGGUCACGAUCCCCGCCCCCGGCAGGGGCUGCCCCGGGCCUGCGGGGCCGAAGCUGCCGCGCGGGGACGCUCGCGCCGCGCGGCUCCCACCGGGGUGGCCCCGCCGCCCCGCCCAGGGGUGAUAACUCGGGCUCCUCCUCCUCGUCGUCCUCCUCCCCCUGCGGGUCAUAUCUCCGGGAACCCAGCGCGGGCCCUGCCUCCCGGACACACGACGCUCACGUAGUCCGGUGGCGGCAGCCUCCCCGGCCACCUCCUUCCAGGCGCUCCGAUGCGACGAGCCAGCCGCAGAGGGGGCUUCCCCACGGCCCGAAAGUAAAGGCAUAGCCAAAAAGUAAGUAACUCAGCUGCCUGAAACUGUGAAGGUCAUGUCGUUAUUUUCUAUGCAAGGCUAGAGUUUCCACAAGAAAAACCAUCAUAACCUCUAACCCGAUGAGCUCUCUUGAGGUGUGUUGUCAAUAGUGGAAAAGGGAAAGUAUUUAUGUAAAACCAUCCCUGUUCGCUUCAGUUGUCAUGGAGUGUUAGGGGUUGCCCUCUUUUGACCAGGAACACUGAAAUCUACCCUUGGGCAUGGCCCAUUGCCUUAUGGGGCAGAAGUGAUCUCGUAGGGAUCUAUGUGGAAGCCAAGUUUUUGAGAAUCUGAGUAACAGCCGCUCAUACUCUCACGAUCUCAGUUCCUGCAGCGAACCGAUAUCCCAUCGUACUUCAUACUCUGCUGGUUCACGGAUGUGUCUCUGUCUUCUCCUUCUGGCUUUUUCCCUGGCCAACCUUGGUGACUCAUAAUCCCUGGCCUGGGAAAGGGCUGAGCAGUCAGGAGAGUGUGUCGGGAGAGGAGGCCUCAGGACAGCCUGUGCUUACUGUGUUGGCGCUAAUCGUUUAGCCAACAAAUUUAUCCUCAAAUGGAUAAAACACCUGUGCAGGUGCCUUCCUUUCAGAGACUUAGGAAAUGUAUCUUGUACAUCUCCACUGCCAGGGGUACUUCUGGGCAAUGAUCUCCCCCUUGCCACAGUCCGCUGGGGAAUUCCUGAGCCAGAGGGUCUGGAAGGCCUACAUCAAAUCAGCAUUUGGUACACUAGUUCUUAUAGAAUGAUCCAGUCCAUAAAAGCUAGACUCUACCUGUGAGGAUACGCAGGAGGCCAACAGUCAGAUCAUACUUGUCUGAGGCCACAGGGGUUCACGUCCUCACCUCCAGUUAUGGUGACACUUACACAGUGAAGGGAUCCUGGGCAGUGGUUGCCUAGGCAGUGCCCCUGAGGCAGCGGCCCUGGUAGGAACCCUUGGGCCACCAGGUAGUUAACUUUAUUUUUGCCUUUCGUGGAAGAUAAUUGCAAAACCAAUGAGGCUCUAGAAAGUGCCAGUGGGGUUGUUUAAUUAGCUGGCUCUGACUAGAACCUCACCUUCCGAGUCCCGGUUCCCCUAGCUUUUACAGCUUGGUGAUAAAAGGGGUCUCGGGCAAAUUUACACCCACUGGGUCCAACCAGUGAAGCUUUACCAACGUCUUCAACUAAGUCUUUUUAGUCUGUAAGAUUAAAAGUUGAGAGGGACUUUAGUCAUCUGCAAGUAUGCAGAUUCUCUAACUGAUCCACUGGUUUUAGAAUUGUUUCCACAGGACCUUGAGAGUUUCCCAACCUUUUUCUAAUGAGCUGUUUUAACAUUGUGUGGGGAAGCACGUGUGAAGUGCCGGAAAGCACGUACUGAGGUCGGGUUGGAGGCUGGAAGGGAUCGAGAAGAGGAUAGAGAACUUAACAGUUGACCUUGCGCUGACUCAGGCAAGGAGGAAGGGCUGUAGCCGUCAGAGAAGGAACCUUGCCUCCCUCCGUUCACCCCAGGUUGUCACGGGUGGGCAGAGUGUGUGUGUGGGGGGCUGGGAUGCAAGGCUUUGCCCACCACUUUGGGGGUAUUUUUAAUUCACA
rnacentral:lncRNA from 1 species